GUACUGGCUUUACUGAUUCCUCCUUCUUGACGAACCGUGAUGUCAUUAAUUUGGUGUUGCGGGAAAUCAGGACUGUUACUUUGAAAAAAUUAGAGUGUUUAAAGCAGGCUAACGCUUGAAUACAUUAGCAUGGAAUAAUGAAAUAGGACGUUAAUCCUAUUUUGUUGGUUUCUAGGAUCGACGUAAUGAUUAAUAGGGAUAGUUGGGGGCAUUAGUAUUCAAUUGUCAGAGGUGAAAUUCUUGGAUUUAUUGAAGACUAACUACUGCGAAAGCAUUUGCCAAGGAUGUUUUCAUUAAUCAAGAACGAAAGUUAGGGGAUCGAAGACGAUCAGAUACCGUCGUAGUCUUAACCAUAAACUAUGCCAACUAGGGAUCGGAUGAUGUUAUUUUUAAUGACUCAUUCGGCGCCUUACG
rnacentral:rRNA from 1 species